AUGGCGUCCUCGCGCCGCGCCCUGCCCGUGGCGACCCUGGCCCUCCGGGUCCUCGCACUGCUCCUCCUCGCGGCCUCCAUCAUCAUCAUCGCCACCGCUGAACUCCAGGACAGCAUCUUCGAGCCUCAAGGCAUCAUCACGUUCAAAGAUUUAUACGCAUACCAGUACGUCCUGGCCGUGGGUGUCAUCGGGUGCGCCUACAACCUGGUGGCGGCUUUGUUCGUGGCGAUCAAUGUCGCCGGGAGGAGGAAGAUGGUCGGCGGCGGCGAGGCCGGCACCGUGCUCCUCAUCUGCGCCGACGUCGUGUGCGCCGUGCUGGUCGCCACGGGAGGGGCGGUGGGCUUGGGUCUGACGGUCGAGGUCCAGCGGCGGCUCGGUGUUAUCUUGGAUUCAGUCUCCAAGACAUUCUUCAUCAGGGUUGACAUCUCCUGCGGCGCGCUGUUGCUCGCAUCCCUAUGCAUCGUGUUCAUCGUCAUGCUCUCCUCUUUCUCACUCACCAAGUAG
rnacentral:rRNA from 1 species